rnacentral:misc_RNA from 1 species
GAUGGAGAACGCAGCGAAAUGCGAUAAGUAAUGUGAAUUGCAGAAUUCAGUGAAUCAUCGAAUCUUUGAACGCACCUUGCACCCUUUGGUAUUCCGAAGGGUAUGCUCGUUUGAGUGUCAUUGUACUCUCACACUUCUAAUUCCUUUCGGGAUUGGGAGCGGUGGACUUGGGUGUUGCUGCUUUAGUUGUGGCUCACCUCAAAUAAGUUAGUGCAACUCUUGGUUGGACAUAGUACGGCGUGAUAAGUGUCUUCGCCGGCGCCUCUGUAAGGAGGGUGGCCGAUCGGGAGCUCUGUGCUUCAAACCGUCUUCGGACAAUCUUUGACAACUUGACCUCAAAUCGAGUAGGACUACCCGCUGAACUUAAGCAUAUCAAUAAGCGGAGGA